UAUCAAUGAUGAUACUAUCCCGAACUGGAUUCCAUGAUGAAAAACUCAUACAGGUCUGGCUUCUGAGAU
rnacentral:snoRNA from 1 species